rnacentral:rRNA from 1 species
UACAGAGGGUGCGAGCGUUGUUCGGAAUUAUUGGGCGUAAAGCGCGCGUAGGUGGCUUCGUAAGUCCGUUGUGAAAGUCAAAGGCUCAACCUUUGAAAGCCGAUGGAUACUGCGGAGCUAGAGUACGGAAGAGGCGAGUGGAAUUCCUGGUGUAGCGGUGGAAUGCGCAGAUAUCAGGAGGAACACCAAUAGCGAAGGCAGCUCGCUGGGACGUUACUGACACUGAGGCGCGAAAGCGUGGGGAGCGAACAGG